GACGAGGGGUCCUAGCGUUGUUCGGAAUUACUGGGCGUAAAGCGCAUGUAGGCGGCUUUUCAAGUCAGAUGUGAAAGCCUCGGGCUCAACCUGAGAAGUGCAUUUGAUACUGUUAAGCUUGAAUAUGGGAGAGGGUAGUAGAAUUCCUGGUGUAGUGGUGAAAUACGUAGAUAUCAGGAGGAAUACCGGUGGCGAAGGCGGCUACCUGGCCCAAUAUUGACGCUGAGAUGCGAAAGCGUGGGGAUCAAACAGG
rnacentral:rRNA from 1 species